rnacentral:rRNA from 1 species
AUUGAACGCUGGCGGCAGGCCUAACACAUGCAAGUCGAGCGAGCGGCGGACGGGUGAGUAAUGUAUGGGAAACUGCCUGAUGGAGGGGGAUAACUACUGGAAACGGUAGCUAAUACCGCAUACCAUCAGAUGUGCCCAGAUGGGAUUAGCUAGUAGGUGGGGUAACGGCUCACCGAGGCGACGAUCCCGAGCUGGUCGGAGAGGAUGACCAGCCAUACUGUAAUGAGGACACGGCCCAGACGCCUACGGGAGGCAGCAGUGGGGAAUAGUGCGCAAUGGGGUAAAGCCUGAUGCAGCCAUGCCGCGUGUGUGAAGAAGGCCUUCGGGUUGUAAAGCACUUUCAGCGUGGAGGCGUUACCCGCAGAAGAAGCACCGGCUAACUCCGUGCCAGCAGCCGCGGUAAUAC